UUGUCUGGCAAAGGCAGCGGAGUCUGUGACAUGGAGGUCCCUGGGACCGCCAGUACAAUCACCUUAUAUUUUGAUGUUAAUAAAAUGUACCCGAAUUCAGGAAUAUGUAGGAUAUUACUACUAACAUUCUUGUAAUAUUACGUCACAACGUCUGCUGUAUUAGCCACGUGUUUACUACGUGUUUAUUUGCAUAUAGAGCGGAGAAGUGAGAUCGGAUCACAAGUGGCACCUCAAGACACAUGUGGAGACACAUUCUAAUACCAGGUGGGAACAGAUGUACUUACAGCUGUCCACUUCCUCAGCUGUAAGAAAUCUAUU